UUGUUUACAGAUAAUGAGUGCCUUUCCUCACUGUGUUGAGUGAAAACUAAAAUACACAGAGCUCCUGGGAUCAAGUUGACUCAUGACAGAGAGAAGAGAACACAGCUUGAAUCAGGAAACAACAUAGCACCAUGGUAUUUCCCAUUACUGAAGUGCUUGCCAAUUAAGAACUAGACUCCUUUCCACUGCCAUCACCAAGCUGAAUAUCUUUAAAUAACCUGAACAAAGCAGGACAUGGCUCCCCUCCCUCAUCUCCAUCAAUCAUGGGAAGACUUACUUGAAGAAUCACAAGACGCUUCUAUCAUGUGCUAUACAGCCAAGCUGGAUGUGAACUUGCAUGAGAAAUUUCACAGCUUGGUUUCCAAAUAUUCAGAAGCUCUACGGGGAUCUGUUGCACCUGUUCCCACACACAAGAAAGAUGUGAGCAGGAACCAGAAGAUGUAAGCUGUUGGAUGUAGCCUUUCCAGGCUGUAGCUGGCAGGUCCAGCAUCUCUGCUGAAGCUUCCCAUGGCACCUUGGCCAAGACAAGCAGAAGCACAACCCAUAGCCAGUGGGACACUGCCAUGCAUAAAUACCCAAGUACCUUGCCAGAAGCUAAGUAGAAAAUAAAAUUUUGGUGCAGAUGAUACUUGAAAAAUUGAGAAAUAGAUAUAGAAUACAGGAAGGAGAACAGAACAAAGCUGGGGGAAGUAAGGAAUAUAAAAGGAAAGGAAGUUGGUAAAGGAGGGAAAAAGGAAGUAUGGAAGAUUUAAUCCAGUCAAUUAGCAUUCAGUUCAAGGGCUUUGAACAGGACAUGCUCAUAGCACCACAGAGAAUAGCAGUGCACCAUAAAGAAUAAGGAUUUUCUAGCAUGUGAUAUAGAUCCAUUGUUAAUAAAGCUGAUGAGGAAUUUGCAAGGAAAGAAUAUCACAGGCUGUUAUCUGACAGAACUACAAUGUGUCUACUGAGAAAUCUAACCCAG
rnacentral:lncRNA from 1 species